rnacentral:misc_RNA from 1 species
GAUUUUUUUUUUUUUUUUUUUUUUUUAUGUCACUAGCUUUUGAACUAAAAAAAUAAUUUUUAUUAAUAAAUUAGAGACAGUUUAUAUUUCAUCAAAGCCUUCAUCAAAGACUAAUGAUUAAGCUACCUUUGUACAGUACUGUAGCCCUUUAAUAACUAUAUCAAAGGGCAGACUAGACUUUAAAUUAUUUUCAAAAAGACAUGUUUUUGAUAAACAAAUAAAUAUAAAAUUUUGCCGAAUUCCUUUAAUUAGA